CGACCUGUGGUGUAAUGGUCAGUAUGUUCGCUUCGCAAGCAAAAGGACCCGGGUUCGAUUCCCGGGCAGGUUGA